UGCCCAGCAACUCCUAUCCCUACCUCCUCGCGGUACCUAUGGAAACUAUGAGCAACCUUAGGGAAGAUCGGGUAACCAACCCCGGUGGGAACUUUGGUCGUAGGCUGACAGGGAAGG
rnacentral:ribozyme from 1 species